rnacentral:tRNA from 1 species
GUGGGUGUAGCACAGUUGGUAGAGUGCUUGCCUCGAAAGCAUGAGGCCCUGGGUUCAAUCCCCAGCACCACA